rnacentral:rRNA from 1 species
UACAGAGGGUGCGAGCGUUGUCCGGAAUCACUGGGCGUAAAGGGCGCGUAGGUGGCGGCCCAAGUUCCAUGGUGAAAGCUCGAUGCUCAACAUCGAGUCGGCCACGGAUACUGGGUGCUCGAGCACUGUAGGGGCAGAUGGAAUUCCGGGGUGUAGCGGUGGAAUGCGUAGAGAUCCGGAAGAACACCCGUGGCUAAGGCGGCUACUCGUAGACGGUACUGGACGCUGAGACGCGAAAGCGUGGGAGC